UGGAGAGUGUCGCCAGGUGCUGAGCGCAGCUGGCGUGUCUUCCAGCGCUGGGGGUUGGGGAGCGUGCCUGCCACUCCCGGUCCCAACGCGUUGCUUCUUCCUCUUUGCAGUGGGUCCUUGGGUUUCUGCUGUACGCUCGGAAUCGCUUGCCCACGCUCCGGGAGGGCAGCGAGGUACUGGGGAUCAAACUCAGGACCUUACACUUGCAAGGGAUCGAACUAAGGACCUUGUACUUCCGAGGCAGGCGCAGAGCCACUGAGUGACAUCCUGGCCCCUCUAUUACAUGUGAAAAGAGCCUUUCUUCGGUGAUUGCUUGUGCUGCUGCCUCGGAGUCUGUGCCUGCAGAGGGAAUCUGGGGUUCCAGAUAACCAUUUAGAGCCCAUUGCUGUCAGCUCUAAACUGGGACUGCGCUGUGUGCUACAGGGUGGCGGCUUCCACCCUGGAUCGGAGAUCUGAAUUCUCUGAUCACAGAAAUCAACUUCCUAAUCUGUUUGUUCGUGACAUGCUUAUGGAGGGCGUACUUUGUGCACAGCUUGGUACUAGGUGCGGGGGACACAGCUUGGGAAACCUGUAACCUUCCUGCUGUGCCCCACCUUAUCCUACAUUUACAAAAUGAUGAAACAUCCUGAAGAGUCAUGGGCACGUGUACUGUGAAGCGCCCCUGCCUGCAUGAUGAGAGCUGCUUCCUCCUCCAUGGUGAACCAGAAAUCAUCAACCUAGAGGGGCGAUGUGGAGCUUUCACUUGCGAGUCCAGAGUUUACAAGACUGAGCAGCAGAUAACUAGUUAGUUACUAGACUUCAGCUGCCUUCUCUGCCAGUGGCUCCCCAACUCCCUCUGGAUGAAGACCAAACUCUGCCCAGAUCUCCAAAGCCCCGUGUGAUUUGCUUCUGCUCAUACUUCCGGCUUCAUGGAUCUCACUUCCUCGUCAGCCCACUACAAGUGCCACCUUUUCGGGGAGUUUGACCCUUCACACAUACUCUUUCCUCUGUCUUACAAGGGGCAGCAGACUUUCACCCAGUGAAAUCCCCCACAUCUUUCUAGACUCAUCCUGACACCGUCACCAACCAAACUAGUCCUCACUCACCUGUUCUUUCUCAGCAUCUUUCCAUAUCUAUGCUCAUCACAUUAGUAUUUAACUCACGGAGCGGACAAUCACCAUUCAGUGUCUGUUUAACACUAGAGUGCAAGCACCAGAGUCCACCCUUUCCUUGAUUUCUGCUGCAUCCUGGAGUCCAGCACCUAGGACAGCGAUGGCACACGCGCCAUAGGUUCACCACCGCUGACCUAGGAGCCGAUGGACAGACCAUUCAUUAAUCAACUGGUUAAAAUCCUUAGCAUGCGUUCAUUUUAUAUUUGCCAGAUAGUCGUGAUUUUACGUUUUCCGACUUUACACUUUAGGGCUGGGGAUGUAGCUCAGUGGUAAAGCAUGUGCAGAGCUCCUCAAAAAAUUAAAGAAACACACACACACACACAUACACAAUCUCCAGCCAGCCACCACAAUUCCUGUGCAACACAUCAAAGCAGUCUCGCAGGAAAGAGGGGCUUCCCUGACACAUGCUCAUAGCCAUCUAGCAGACAGAUGGCACGUGUCUGUCGACAGUGCAGCUGCUGCUCGAGGACAGCUGCUCGGCGGAGUCCAGACCGCAGAGGCUUCCUGGUGGAUUUGUCCACUGUGAAAAGCAGAGGUUUCCCCCGCUCCCAGAGAACAAUGGCUUUUGUGGUCACCUACUCCACCGGGCACCCACAGACGUCCACAGUGGACAGCAGCAGUCUCAUGUGUGGCUCACUUACAGGCUUCUGCCUGCACGGCAGCUGCUAUGUCUUCCCAGAAUGUGAACUUCUAGCAGAGGAAAACAAACCUUCAAGUGUCACCACCACACAUAUAUGUGACACUUCCUUAUAGGCAGCAGGGCACGUGUCUGGACACCACGAUUCAUUAAUAACCAAGACCAUCAAAGUUUUCUACAGAAGAAUAAAGCACUUGUGGGAAUUCUGGGGGGUCAUUUUCAUGUAGAAAGGAGAGAAAACAGUGAACUAUACUAAACGGGGAGCUAUUGUAUGUUGGAUGUGCUGAUAUCAUUACAUCAUGAAUUCUUAGAACCUUCCAAGGAAGGCUUUCUUAUUCCCACUUUACAGAUGAGGAAACUGAGGGUCAGAGAGAUCCAAUCACUUGUCUAAGGUCACUUGGACUCUAAGUGGUCUCUUCAUACCAUUCUUCCCCUUUCCCCUUACAAACUGUUCUGCAGUCCUCGGGCAGAAUAUUCUAGACACAUAAAUCUGAUCAUUUGGUUUCUUGUUUAAAAACCUCUAAUUGCUUUGGACCACACUUAAACAAAACCUAAACUCUAGCAUCAUUUCAAGGCCCUGCACCACCAGGCUUCUAGUCUGCUGCUUCCCCUUCCAACACACUGUUCUGAUUUUUCCAGAACGCUUCCACCCUAUAACCUCCUCCUUGCUGUUCCUUUGGCCCGGAACACUCAGCUACCAGAUCUUUGCAUGACUGGCUCCUCGGCUUUCAAGUCUCAGCUCGAGUCCCCUGCAGAGGCGUCAGAGCAGCAGCAAACUCUCCCUGCACACCCGUUCGCCGGGCACUGUCCCCAGCUCCUCACAGAUAACAGAGGGGAGCCAUCGAGGCCACUGCUGAGGAACCCACAUUUGUGUAGCUAUUUCAGAAACACAGCGGAAAUACACUUAUAUUUUUGUUCCUCACAGGCACACAGGCUGCUAGACUCCAAAUACAAUGGAAGAAAGGUUCUUAAUCACUUUCCAAAAAGGACAUCUUCCCCACAGGCCCAUCUUCAUACACCAACCAGGAGAGGGGAAGAAAAAUGUGUCUCUGAAGGAGGGAGGGGUGGGGCUUUGGGGAAAAAGACAAGAAUCAGUAUAACAUCUUCGCGAGAUCUCAGGCAUCUGGGAUGCAGUGCUGUGUGCUAAUCUCUGCUCAACUGGAUGAACUGAAGAAGUCCAGAAAGCUAUCCAUCCAUCCAUCCAUCCAUCCGUCCAUCCAUUAAAUAUACCAAUAUUGUAUGUUUAGAGCAUUUGUGAUCUUCCCAUCUGUCGAUGAGGACACCAUGGUGAGCAAAACAGUUCCUGAUCUCAGAAGGGAUAAACUCCCGUUGAUUCCUAGAA